rnacentral:rRNA from 1 species
GACCAUCUCCCAAGGCUAAAUACUCCCUAGUGACCGAUAGUGAACCAGUACCGUGAGGGAAAGGUGAAAAGCACCCCGGAAGGGGAGUGAAACAGUUCCUGAAACCGUGUGCCUACAAGUAGUUAGAGCCCGUUAAUGGGUGAUAGCGUGCCUUUUGUAGAAUGAACCGGCGAGUUACGAUUUGUUGCAAGGUUAAGCGGAAAAAGCGGAGCCGUAGCGAAAGCGAGUCUGAAUAGGGCGCAUAAGUAACAGGUCGUAGACCCGAAACCAGGUGAUCUACCCAUGUCCAGGAUGAAGGUAAGGUAAUACUUACUGGAGGUCCGAACCCACGCACGUUGAAAAGUGCGGGGAUGAGGUGUGGGUAGCGGAGAAAUUCCAAUCGAACUUGGAGAUAGCUGGUUCUCUCCGAAAUAGCUUUAGGGCUAGCCUCGAGGUAAAGAGUCAUGGAGGUAGAGCACUGUUUGGACUAGGGGCCCUUCUCGGGUUACCGAAUUCAGAUAAAC